GUUUGGUCAGCAGAGUUACACCAGUUGUUUUACUGGGUCCUUUAAUCUUCUCUGUCGGUGGGUUCUUUGACAGUGGGAGUGUGCUUCAGUCCUACAGCCUGGAGGGAGGAAUAAACAAACACCUUUGGGAGAGAGGAGAGAGAGAGAGAAAGAAAGAAAGAGAGAGAGAAAGGAGACAGACUGCUAGUGAUGGGGGAGGGGAGAGAGGAGAAGGCGAGUCAUGAGACAGGAAAUGUCUGCGUUCCCCUGGGGGAGCGUCAAAGAGAAUCUGCAGGACAAGAAAAAAAUAAGACAAAAUCCUUGUGUCUAUGACAACUUACUGCGAGAUGCUGGCCAAUGUGCCCGAAGGAGCGAACAGAGAACCACUUAAAUCAAGCGAAAAUCUGAAAGUAAAAUUUGUGUUAGUGUGGCGCAAUCAAGGCAAAUGGAAGUGGCAGGCGACACCAUGGAUG
rnacentral:lncRNA from 1 species